rnacentral:misc_RNA from 1 species
CGCACAUUGCGCCCAUUAGUAUUCUAUUGGGCAUGCCUGUUCGAGCGUCAUUUCAACCCUUAAGCCUAGCUUAGUGUUGGGAAUCUACUGCCCGGGAGGAGCUACCCUGUAGCGCCUACCCUGUAGUUCCCGAAAACCAACGGCGGAUUUACAGUGUCCUCUGAGCGUAGUAAUCUCUUUCUCGCUUCUGUCAGGUGCUGUAAGCCUUGCCGCUAAACCCCCAAUUUUUAAAUGGUUGACCUCGGAUCAGGUAGGAAUACCCGCUGAACUUAA